rnacentral:rRNA from 1 species
UACGGAGGGUGCGAGCGUUUGUCCGGAAUCAUUGGGCGUAAAGGGCGCGUAGGUGGCCCCUCAAGCGUGCGGUGAAAGUCAGGGGCUCAACCCCUGAUCGGCCGUGCGAACUGGGGAGCUUGAGCACUGUAGAGGCAGGCGGAAUUCCGGGUGUAGCGGUGGAAUGCGUAGAGAUCCGGAAGAACACCGGUGGCGAAGGCGGCCUGCUGGGCAGUUUUGCUGACACUGAGGCGCGACAGCGUGGGGAGCAAACAGG